ensembl:lncRNA
UUGCGACACGUUGCCUUUCUGGAUCACUUGUGCCAUAUGGAACCUCCCCUCGUGGCACAUAACUCACUUUUAUGAGGGCUUCAUUGGCUAAUGAUGGAACAGUGCACGAGCACUGAGCACGGAGGUGUUGUCCCCACGACUGUCGCUCCCUCCGCCGUCGCUGCCGCUGUCACUCUGAUCCCUGCUGAGAACUCUACCGCUGGCUUCAGAGGCUCCUGAACUCCGUUACCUGAUGUUUGAGUGAUGCCGGUGUCGGCAAUAUUUCUUCGCCUUUUUCCCGACAGACACCUUCAUCAUCGUGAAAACUCCAGUUAACCCACCAGGAGGAGAAAGCAAAGUGGCCGAUGAGCCAGCGGAGUGGAUGUGACGGCCGCUUAAGCGGUGACAAGCAGAAGGAACGAGACUGUACAACUCUACGGAUCUGUACGACGAAAGAGGAGAGGACAGAACCAAGAACUCUUUCCGUCCGCUG